ensembl:Y_RNA Y_RNA Y RNA
GGCAGGUCAGAGUGCAGUAGUGUUUACCAGUAAUUGAUCACAGCCAGUUACAGAUUUCUUUGUUCCUUCUCUACUCGCACUGCUUCACUUGACUAACCUAGA